UACGUAGGGUGCAGGCGUUAAUCGGAAUUACUGGGCGUAAAGCGUGCGCAGGCGGUUUGCUAAGACAGGUGUGAAAUCCCCGGGCUUAACCUGGGAACUGCGCUUGUAACUGGCAAGCUAGAGUGUGGCAGAGGGGGGUGGAAUUCCACGUGUAGCAGUGAAAUGCGUAGAGAUGUGGAGGAACACCGAUGGCGAAGGCAGCCCCCUGGGCUAACACUGACGCUCAUGCACGAAAGCCAGGGGAGCGAACGGG
rnacentral:rRNA from 1 species